UGACAUUUUCCAUUUUAAUGCCUACUUAGGGCAGGUUCAGGCUGCACAAGGAAGAGGCCAGAAUCAAGCAUCCAGGGGCACUUCACCCUACGCAAGUAUCAGAAAUAUUCCUCGAGCCAAUACAGGUAUUCAACGCCAACAGCCUGUCGCAGCCUUCCGGAAACCUGCCGGGUCUCCAGUCCAUCUCGCUCAUCUUGCCUGGUCAUAGUGAGUGUGGAAGGGCAGGUUAGUUCCAUGUGGGAUGCAGCUCCAAUAUGUUUUAAAUUUUAAAACCUCUUUUUUUCCCCUGGCCGCGCACAGCUGAUGUGUUUGUAGAACAGAUUACAUAGGAA
rnacentral:lncRNA from 1 species